rnacentral:lncRNA from 1 species
CUUUGGAGGCUGGGGACAGAAGGUUUAGGGUUUUGGAUAUGGUUUUGGUGCAAAAUUUGUGUCAUUUGGAGUUUUUAUGAAGAAGUUAUAGGCGCUCAAAGUUUUGGUGUUAGUUUUUGGACCUAUUGUCACUCUUUAGAGCAUUGCGCACGCAUACAGAUAGCAAACGAAGAUCGGCGACUGGAAUUGGAGAGAACACUUUUUUGGCUAUAAUUUAUGCUUACCUUUUGUGAAAUUCCAAGCUUCGAUAAAGGAGAUAUUGGUAGUUGAAGUCAGCACUUGGAAUCUAAUGGUAGUAAGUAGCCCGAUUUACUUGUACUUGUGAUUUGAGCUAUAUCUUAGACAAUUUGACAAAUUUUUGACUCAAAAUUUCCAAGAUUGUGUAUAAUCUUGUUGUAAAACUUUCUACUUAAGUUUUAUGGAAUUUGGAAUUUGGGUUUUUGAGAUACAGGGAAAAUAGUUUUCAGGUGCUUGUAAGUUAGGGUUUUGUGCUUUUUCUAGGGUUUCUAAGAUGCUGAAAGAUCCGUGGUAGAUGUACGGUUCAUUUUUGUUUUGAUAAGGGUUAAGAAUAGCAUCUAUCUCAUGUAGAAAUUUGAAACAAACUGAACGGUUGGAUCGUGAUAUAUGAGAUCCUAAAGUCUGAUGUAAAAAGGUCUUUGCUGGAAGAAAAAUGUUUUGAAGGAUUUUAAUAUAUUUUGAGUUUUUAUACAAAGCAAAGAGGAUUUUUGGGAGCUAAGGCAUAAUAUACAAG